ensembl:snRNA U6 U6 spliceosomal RNA
GUGCUAGCUUUGGCAACAUAUAUGCUAAAUUGGAAUUAUACAGAAAAUAUUAGCAUGACCCCUGCACAAGGAUGACACACAAAUUUGUGAAGUGUUCCAUAUUUUU